UGAGCUGCACAUAUUGGCCCCGCCUCC
rnacentral:piRNA from 1 species